CAGCAGCAGCCGCGGUAAUACGUAGGUGGCAAGCGUUGUCCGGAAUUAUUGGGCGUAAAGGGCUCGCAGGCGGUUUCUUAAGUCUGAUGUGAAAGCCCCCGGCUCAACCGGGGAGGGUCAUUGGAAACUGGGAAACUUGAGUGCAGAAGAGGAGAGUGGAAUUCCACGUGUAGCGGUGAAAUGCGUAGAGAUGUGGAGGAACACCAGUGGCGAAGGCGACUCUCUGGUCUGUAACUGACGCUGAGGAGCGAAAGCGUGGGGAGCGAACAGGAUUAGAUACCCGAGUAGUCCCUGUCUCUUAUAC
rnacentral:rRNA from 1 species